CACAAAUGAUGCAUUGUCGAUCUACUACGUCUGACUCUGAAUGACUAAAUUAAGAAAAUACGAGACAAUCCAUCAAAAUUGGGAUUAUUUGCCACGGUCAACUUCGUUUGUUUAUAAAACUAAGCACGCCAGCCGUGCACCUCAGUCGGGUAAAUUACUCUCUUCAACUGCAUACCCUAAAGAUGCUGUCUCUACUUGUGAUCGGUUCCUUGGUCUGUUUGGCUAGUUCUCUUCAUGUUGGUGGUGGCCAUUCUCCAAUACUAGGAUCCGGACAACAUGUUGCUGGUUUAUCUCGACAUGGCGAUCAUAUAGAUGCUCAUGUCAAAACAAAUGUUGUUGGUCCCGGUGGUAAUGUGCACACAAUUCAUGAACAUGUACCAAUACCGUCAACUAUUCAAAAUCCAGUGUACGGCGGUGGACGCUUAGGUCGUUUUGGGGGAAGAAGAUUUGGUUUGUUUAACAACGGUUUGAAUAAUUAUAAUAAUUAUAACAACGGUUUCCAUAAUUAUAACAACGGUUUCCAUAAUUAUAACAACGGUUUCCAUAAUUAUAAUAACGGUUUCAAUAAUUAUAAUAAUUAUAACAACGGUUUCAACAACUUCAGACAACCAUAUGUCACCACUAACUUCAAUAAUGGAAUUGGAUUCAACCACGCCGGCCACAUUCACAGGAAAAAAAGGGCCGCUCUUUUACCAGUUGCCAGAUAUCCAACGAAUCAUAUCAAUAAUUAAGUGACGUUCAUAACAUGUAUAACAGAUGCCAUUGAAUAGAUGUGUAACAGCUUCCUGCUAUCUUCAAAGACUUCGAAAUCGUAACGUGCCUUCACUGUCACAAUUUUUCUACCCACCGUACUAUAAUUACAAUCGGAUGUUCUUAUUUUAAACCAAGACGGUCUCGUUUUGUAUUGUCGUCUACAUAGAGCUCACUCUCUCCCUACUGGGCCAGUCUAUGUAGUAUUUUGGUAGGGUAAUGAACUAUUUUCUACGUUAGAUUAUUUCACUAGGUUUUGUUAUACGUCAUUCAUUCAUGUUGUGUUAAAUGU